CCACCGCGGUUAUACGAAAGACCCUAGUUGAUAGACACGGCGUAAAGGGUGGUUAAGGAAAAUAACCAAUAAAGCUAAAGACCCCCUAAGCUGUCAUACGCACCCCGAGGGCACGAAACCCAAACACGAAAGUAGCUUUAAAAAACACACCUGACCCCACGAAAGCUAAGAAACAAACUGGGAUUAGAUACCCCACUAUGCUUAGCCCUAAACCUAGAUGUACCUUUACAUACACAUCCGCCCGGGUACUACGAGCACAGCUUAAAACCCAAAGGACUUGGCGGUGUCUCAGACCCACCUAGAGGAGCCUGUUCUAGAACCGAUAACCCCCGUUAAACCUCACCACUUCUUGUUUCCCCCGCCUAUAUACCGCCGUCGUCAGCUUACCCUGUGAAGGCUUAGCAGUAAGCAAAAUGGGCCCGCCCAAAAACGUCAGGUCGAGGUGUAGCGUACGAAGUGGAAAGAAAUGGGCUACAUUUUCUAUACUAAUAGAAUACUACGAAUGAUGUCCUGAAAUAAACAUCUGAAGGUGGAUUUAGUAGUAAAAAGUAAACAGAGCGUCCUUUUGAAUUAGGCUCUGAGACGCGCACACACCGCCCGUCACUCUCCCCCCUCCACACACCCAAACAAUCCAUAAUAACACACGCAAAUUCACGGGGAGGCAAGUCGUAACAUG
rnacentral:rRNA from 1 species